rnacentral:rRNA from 1 species
GAUGAACGCUGGCGGCGUGCCUAAUACAUGCAAGUCGAGCGAACAGACGAGGAGCUUGCUCCUUUGACGUUAGCGGCGGACGGGUGAGUAACACGUGGGUAACCUACCUAUAAGACUGGGAUAACUUCGGGAAACCGGAGCUAAUACCGGAUAAUAUUUCGAACCGCAUGGUUCGAUAGUGAAAGAUGGCUUUGCUAUCACUUAUAGAUGGACCUGCGCCGUAUUAGCUAGUUGGUAAGGUAACGGCUUGCCAAGGCAACGAUACGUAGCCGACCUGAGAGGGUGAUCGGCCACACUGGAACUGAGACACGGUCCAGACUCCUACGGGAGGCAGCAGUAGGGAAUCUUCCGCAAAGGGCGAAAGCCUGACGGAGCAACGCCGCGUGAGUGAUGAAGGUCUUCGGAUCGUAAAACUCUGUUAUUAGGGAAGAACAAACGUGUAAGUAACUGUGCACGUCUUGACGGUACCUAAUCAGAAAGCCACGGCUAACUACGUG